rnacentral:lncRNA from 1 species
AUGGUUCUGCUGCACAUGAAGUGGGGCGACAAGAGCCAGUUCCUGCUGCAGGUGCCAGGGAGCACCAAGCCGGAGGAGCUUAUGGUGCAAGUGGGCCAGGUCUAUAAUGGGUGGCUCAACGUGCAGCGCCUCUGCUUGGAAAUGGAAGAAUUAGCACAACAUGACAUAUUUCUCUCUCCUAAUAUGCAAGGACUGACCAAUGAUCAGAUUGAAGAAUUGAAAUUAAAGAAGGAAUGGGGUGAAAAAUGUAUG